rnacentral:rRNA from 1 species
GAACGGUAGCACAGAGAGCUUGCUCUCGGGUGACGAGUGGCGGACGGGUGAGUAAUGUCUGGGAAACUGCCUGAUGGAGGGGGAUAACUACUGGAAACGGUAGCUAAUACCGCAUAACGUCGCAAGACCAAAGAGGGGGACCUUCGGGCCUCUUGCCAUCAGAUGUGCCCAGAUGGGAUUAGCUAGUAGGUGGGGUAACGGCUCACCUAGGCGACGAUCCCUAGCUGGUCUGAGAGGAUGACCAGCCACACUGGAACUGAGACACGGUCCAGACUCCUACGGGAGGCAGCAGUGGGGAAUAUUGCACAAUGGGCGCAAGCCUGAUGCAGCCAUGCCGCGUGUAUGAAGAAGGCCUUCGGGUUGUAAAGUACUUUCAGCGGGGAGGAAGGGAGUAAGGUUAAUAACCUUGUUCAUUGACGUUACCCGCAGAAGAAGCACCGGCUAACUCCGUGCCAGCAGCCGCGGUAAUACGGAGGGUGCAAGCGUUAAUCGGAAUUACUGGGCGUAAAGCGCACGCAGGC